AACGAACGCUGGCGGCAGGCCUAACACAUGCAAGUCGAGCGAGCAUUUCGGUGCUAGCGGCGGGCGGGUGAGUAACGCGUGGGAACGUGCCCUUUUCUGCGGAAUAGUCCUGGGAAACUGGGGGUAAUACCGCAUACGCCCUUUUGGGGAAAGAUUUAUCGGAGAAGGAUCGGCCCGCGUUGGAUUAGGUAGUUGGUGGGGUAAUGGCCCACCAAGCCGUCGAUCCAUGGCUGGUUUGGGAGGAUGCUCAGCCACACUGGGGCUACGACACGGCCCAGACUGCGACGGAAGGCAGCAGAAGGGAAUCUAAGAGGAGGGGGCCAACCCUGAUGUAGCCAUGCGGCGGGAGUGAUGAAGGCCUUAGUGUUGUAAAGCCCUUUCAGCUGGGAAGAUAAUGACGGUACCAGCAGAAGAAGCCCCGGCUAACUCCGUG
rnacentral:rRNA from 1 species